rnacentral:rRNA from 1 species
AAGGGGGUGGAUCAUGNNGUAUUAAUUUCAUGGAACCCGACGAACCUUACCUACUCUUUACAUCCAGAGAAGUGAGGAGAGAUGCUUCGGUGCCCUCGCGAACUCUGAGACAGGUGCUGCAUGGAAGUCGUCAGUUCGUGUUGUGAAAUGCUGGGUUAAGUCCCGCAACGAGCGCAACCCUUAUCCUUUGUUGCCAGCGGUUCGGCCGGGAACUCAAAGGAGACUGCCAGUGAUAAACUGGAGGAAGGUGGGGAUGACGUCAAGUCAUCAUGGCCCUUACGAGUAGGGCUACACACGUGCUACAAUGGCGCAUACAAAGAGAAGCGACCUCGCGAGAGCAAGCGGACCUCAUAAAGUGCGUCGUAGUCCGGAUUGGAGUCUGCAACUCGACUCCAUGAAGUCGGAAUCGCUAGUAAUCGUGGAUCAGAAUGCCACGGUGAAUACGUUCCCGGGCCUUGUACACACCGCCCGUCAACACCAUGGGAGUGGGUUGCAAAAGAAAGUUAGGUUAGCUUAACCUUCNGGA